rnacentral:rRNA from 1 species
AUUGAACGCUGGCGGCAGGCCUAACACAUGCAAGUCGAACGAGUGGCGGACGGGUGAGUAAUGUCUGGGAAACUGCCUGAUGUAGGGGGAUAACUACUGGAAACGGUAGCUAAUACCGCAUACCAUCAGAUGUGCCCAGGUGGGAUUAGCUAGUAGGUGGGGUAACGGCUCACCUAGGCGACGCUCCCUAGCUGGUCUGAGAGGAUGACCAGCCACACUGGAACUGAGACACGGUCCAGACUCCUAAGGGAGGCAGCAGUGGGGAAUAUUGCACAAUGGGCGCAAGCCUGAUGCAGCCAUGCCGCGUGUGUGAAGAAGGCCUUCGGGUUGUAAAGCACUUGCAGCGGGGAGGCGUUACCCGCAGAAGAAGCACCGGCUAACUCCGUGCCAGCAGCCGCGGUAAUUC